GAAGAGAUAAGUGCUGAAAGCAUCUAAGCACGAAACUUGCCCCGAGAUGAGUUCUCCCUGACUCCUUGAGAGUCCUGAAGGAACGUUGAAGACGACGACGUUGAUAGGCCGGGUGUGUAAGCGCAGCGAUGCGUUGAGCUAACCGGUACUAAUGAACCGUGAGGCUUAACCUUACAACGCCGAAGCUGUU
rnacentral:rRNA from 1 species